GACGUAGGGCGCGAGCGUUGUCCGGAUUUAUUGGGCGUAAAGAGCUCGUAGGCGGCUUGUCGCGUCGAAUGUGAAAACUCGGGGCUCAACUCCGAGCUUGCAUUCGAUACGGGCAGGCUAGAGUUCGGUAGGGGAGACUGGAAUUCCUGGUGUAGCGGUGAAAUGCGUAGAGAUCCGGAGGAACACCGACGGCGUAGGCAGCGCCCUGGACGACACCUGACGCUGAGGCACGAAAGCUGGGGGAGCGAACAGG
rnacentral:rRNA from 1 species